AGUGAACGCUGGCGGUAGGCCUAACACAUGCAAGUCGAACGGCAGCACAGUAAGAGCUUGCUCUUACGGGUGGCGCGUGGCGGACGGGUGCGGAAUACAUCGGAAUCUACUUUUUCGUGGGGGAUAACGCAGGGAAACUUACGCUAAUACCGCACACGACCUACGGGUGAAAGCAGGGGAUCUUUGGACCUUGUGCGAUUGAAUGAGCCGACGUCGGAUUAGCUAGUUGGCGGGGUAAAGGCCCACCAAGGCGACGAUCCGUAGCUGGUCUGAGGGGGUGGACAGCCACACUGGCAGUGAGGCACGGUCGAGACUCCUACGGUGGGACGCAGUCGAGAAUAUUAGGCGAGGGAGGCGAGCCUGAUCCAGGAAUACCGCGUGAGUGAAGAAGGCGUUCGGGUUGGAAAGCGAUGUUGUUGGGAGAGAAAUACAGCAGGUUAAUACCCCACUGUUCUGACGGUACCCAAAGAAUAAGCACCGGCUAACUUCGUG
rnacentral:rRNA from 1 species